GUGGGGAAUCUUCCGCAAUGGACGAAAGUCUGACGGAGCAACGCCGCGUGAACGAUGACGGCCUUCGGGUUGUAAAGUUCUGUUAUACGGGACGAAUGGUACGACGGCCAAUACCCGUCGUAAGUGUCGGUACCGUAAGAGAAAGCCACGGCUAACUACGUGCCAGCAGCCGCGGUAAUACGUAGGUGGCAAGCGUUGUCCGGAAUUAUUGGGCGUAAAGGGCGCGCAAGCGGCGUCGUAAGUCGGUCUUAAAAGUGCGGGGCUUAACCCCGUGAGGGGACCGAAACUGCGAUGCUAGAGUAUCGGAGAGGAAAGCGGAAUUCCUAGUGUAGCGGUGAAAUGCGUAGAUAUUAGGAGGAACACCAGUGGCGAAAGCGGCUUUCUGGACGACAACUGACGCUGAGGCGCGAAAGCCAGGGGAGCAAACGGGAUUAGAUACCCUAGUAGUCC
rnacentral:rRNA from 1 species